rnacentral:rRNA from 1 species
UACGAAGGGGGCUAGCGUUGCUCGGAAUCACUGGGCGUAAAGCGCACGUAGGCGGAUUGCUAAGUCAGGGGUGAAAUCCUGGAGCUCAACUCCAGAACUGCCCUUUGAUACUGGCGACCUGAGUCCGGGAGAGGUGAGUGGAACUGCGAGUGUAGAGGUGAAAUUCGUAGAUAUCGCAAGAACACCAGUGGCGAAGGCGGCUCACUGGCCCGGUACUGACGCUGAGGUGCGAA